rnacentral:lncRNA from 1 species
GCUUCUUCAGAGUUGAGUAAGAUUAAAAAAGCCCGACAUCUCCAAUAUUCCUCAGCAACGGUUUAUGUACCUGCAUAGACAGAUGAAAAAAGGGCUUGAGGAUGUAUUUAAAAACAUGCAUGUAUAUGAUGGAUGGUUAGAGAGAGAGCAUGCAAGAAUAUGAUACAGAUUAAUGGCUCUCUGUAUUUUUGGAGUCUUUUUGUUUCAGGCCCAUAGUUCUGGUGCAUUGGAAGGGUUCUGGAAUUUUAGAACACAAAGUAGCAGUUUUAAAUAAUGAGAGAAGAUUCCACAUGGAACGCUCAUCUGGCUGUGGCAGCCUGUGACUGAAUGAGAGAAAAGUGCCCUAGAAGCUAUUCAUUACGAAUUCACUGGAAGCUCUCAAACGAGGCUGGCAGAAGCUGAAAUUGAAGUGGUCUCUGACCUAAUUUUCUUCUGCAUGAAACAUCUGCAUCAAGGCUCUCUUUGAUGUAUUCCACUUGGCUCUGUCUAUAGGAUUGUAUCACAUGGACUCGGUGUUGCCUCCUUAUUGAAAGACAUUUCCAGCCUUUGCAAGUGCUUUCUAAUCAAAGCAAUCAGAUAUGAAGCAUUUGGGGGCAGUAGACUCUCUGAGGUCAGUGGUGAUCCAGUUCUCCAACAAGAAGAAAAUAUGGGUGCACAUUGACCUACUUGUUAUGAACCUUCACAGAAGACCCAGGGAAGGCGUUAGAGUUGGGGCCACAAGUUUGCAGCAUCACUGA